CCUACGGGUGGCAGCAGUGAGGAAUAUUGGUCAAUGGACGCGAGUCUGAACCAGCCAAGUAGCGUGAAGGAUGACUGCCCUAUGGGUUGUAAACUUCUUUUAUAUGGGAAUAAAAUGUUCCACGUGUGGCUUUUUGUAUGUACCUUAUGAAUAAGGAUCGGCUAACUCCGUGCCAGCAGCCGCGGUAAUACGGAGGAUCCGAGCGUUAUCCGGAUUUAUUGGGUUUAAAGGGAGCGUAGAUGGAUUGUUAAGUCAGUUGUGAAAGUUUGCGGCUCAACCGGAAAAUUGCAGUUGAAACUGGCAGUCUUGAGUACAGUAGAGGUGGGCGGAAUUCGUGGUGUAGCGGUGAAAUGCUUAGAGAUCACGAAGAACUCCGAUUGCGAAGGCAGCUCACUAGACUGCCACUGACACUGAGGCUCGAAAGUGUGGGUAUCAAACAGGAUUAGAUACCCCGGUAGUC
rnacentral:rRNA from 1 species